AAUCUUUGAGUACCUUCAUUAUCUUUAAUGUAGGCAUCUUCUAAAGCAUCCAAAGAUCUUUAGCAGUUUAUAUUUUCUGUAUGUUUCAUAUAAUUCAUCUGAAAGGCAACUCAAAAUCCUAAAUCUACAGUGAAACUCAAUUUUUUUUGAAGAUUUUUCUACUAAAGAUUUAGAAUUUGAAUCAGAAUAAAAGGAUCCUUUUGAGGAAUAAGGCAGAUCUUUCCCUACA
rnacentral:lncRNA from 1 species